rnacentral:rRNA from 1 species
UAUGGAAGGCAGCAGUGGGGAAUAUUGCACAAUGGGCGAAAGCCUGAUGCAGCUAUGCCGCGUGUAUGAAGAAGGCCUUAGGGUUGUAAAGUACUUUCAUCGGGGAGGAAAAACAAAACUAAUAAUUUUAUUUCUUGACGUUACCCGAAAAAGAAGCACCGGCUAACUCCGUGCCAGCAGCCGCGGUAAUACAGAGGGUGCGAGCGUUAAUCGGAUUUACUGGGCGUAAAGCGUGCGUAGGCGGCUGAUUAAGUCGGAUGUGAAAUCCCUGAGCUUAACUUAGGAAUUGCAUUCGAUACUGGUCAGCUAGAGUAUGGGAGAGGAUGGUAGAAUUCCAGGUGUAGCGGUGAAAUGCGUAGAGAUCUGGAGGAAUACCGAUGGCGAAGGCAGCCAUCUGGGCCUAAUACUGACGCUGAGGUACGAAAGCAUGGGGAGCAAACAGGGAUUAGAAUAACC